AGAAAAGCUCAACGUGAAGAUAAAUUUGUUAUGGAAACCAGCUACACAGAAUAUAAAAACAUUAAGUCAAAGCUCAAACUUCUAGAAGCCUUAGUUGCCAAGUAUGAACAGCCUUCUUAAAUACUACUUCUUUUCAAGAUAUUUACAGCUACAUCAUUUCAGUUAUAUCUAGUCAUUUAUUGAAAAGUUGUUUUAUUAAAGCAUGAUGCCAAAGAGUCCUCAAGUAUUCAUGUCAGUAAUUUUAGUUCGAGAAUCUAGACACAUUUUAUUGCAUUUAACUCAGCUCAUUUUAGUUCAGUGUUGAAAAAAAAGAAGAGUUUCUACACUCUGAAAUAGCACACUCAAUUCCAUCUGACCCCGCACAAGAAGGUGCUUUUGUAUAUAGUAUUUAUUCUAUUAGAACUUUGUAUAAAGUUAUUAUUAACUGUUAAGAGAUUUUUAUGUUUUGCUAUGCAGCAUAUUUUUAACCCAAGUACUUGAAAAAUAAUUUUGAGUAACCAGUAUUUAUUUUUUCCUUAUUUAGAUGGUGCCAAAGAUUUGCAUUAAGAAAACUUAAGUUUACAUUUAUGUCUUUAUUUAUUAGCUUUACCUAUUCAAUUUGUUAUUUUGAUCCAUGUUUAAUCUGUAUAAACUAUAUAUACAUAAAUAUAUAUAUAUAUAUGUGUGAAUACAUACACAUAAAUGUAACUUAUAUUCAUAAGGUGAUGUAUGAAAAAGGGCAUUGUAAUUAAUGUCAAGAUAUAAUGUUUAUAAUAUUGAGUCAUUUUUGUACAAGGCAGUUGUUACUGUAAUUAUACAGUUCUUUCAAAGUGCAAUAUAUUAUUAAUUUGAUUGUUUAAAUUGUUUUGUGCAAGUGAAAUUUUGUCUUUUGUUCAAAGCAAUUACUUAAGCAUUUGCAUUUAUUUUGGUAGCUCUCUUCCCGGUGUGUUGGAAGUUUUUAAGUACAAAAUAGUUUUUAUUUAGCAUUUAUGUAAUGUGCAAUUUCAGAGGACAGUUAUGUUUAACAUAUUUUUAUAGUUUUCAAGUCGUAUACAGUAUUAUAUAAAACUUACUUAGGAUACAUGCACACAGGUGGAUUUAUACUAUAUCUUGACAAAAACUAGGUACUUAAUUAGCAUAGAGGGGGCAGAGUGAUGAUGCUCAAGAAUUUUGCUUCUGCAAUAUUAUUUUUGAUUUUUUACUGUAACUUUUUUUUAUCAGUAAAAAAAUAUAUUAAUUGAAGCAAUUGUUUUUGUAGCUGCUUUUUAGGUAACUAAGAAGAUACAGGGAAAAAAAUUUGUGCAAGUCUCAUAAAAGUAAAUAGGGUUUUUUUUCAUGUUAGUAAUUUUAAAAAUUAAAUUGCCUAUAUGCCAUUAUAAAUUUUUAAAAAACUCGCUUUAACCUCUUGUAAAGUGUAUGAAUUCUAGGUUGGCAGCUGAUCCUUGUUAUUAACAAUGUUAAAUAAAGUAUCUUCAAAGUUAGUACCAAUCAGUUCUAAUUAUAAGUAAUGAAACAAGAUUAUUCUAUAUUGUAUAAAAAAUAAUUUAAAACUAAAAAAGUUAUCACAUAAAAAUGAUCAUGCAGAUAUAAACUGUCUUUCAAACUAAAUAGUUCUUCAAUAGUAAACCAAAUUUCCCUUGAAUUAUUUAAUAAAUGAAUAAAGAAAGGAGCAUUCUCAUAUAUUUUAAAAAGUGCUAGAGGAUUAAAGCAAUGAGCUUUAGCUUAUAAAUUUCUACAUAAGAUUUUUUCCUAAAAAAACAUAAUCCUUUGAAGCAUUUAAAAAAAAUUAACUAAAAUAAUAGUACUGUAGGUUAAAAAUGGUGCCAGUGUAAUUUAGUUGUUUGUAAACAAAUAUGUGAUGACAAGAAAGUUUUAAGACUAGAAAAUCUAAUUGCAUGUUAUUUUGUAAGUUAUGGCUUAGAAUUUUUAAAAUAUCCACCUAUGUGCACUGUAUUUAUUUGAUUUAAAAAUGAAGGAGAGUGCUUAAAACCUUUAUCUGGUCUAGGAAGAAUAUUUUACAGCGUGAAUAGAAUUUUUGUAAUUAAGAACGUGUUUUAAGCAUAUAAAAUUUUACUUAUUGAUAAAAAUUAUUAUAAAAUUGUUUUAUAUAAAUUUAUAUUCAUAAGAUCUCAAAUCAUACAAUGGCAAAUUUUACUUCGUAUUUCUAUUAAUUAAGAAAUCACAAUUAUACUCAUCAGUAACAUUUUCUUGAUAUGAUAUUUACAAAAAACCUUUCUAUGGAUUGAAAAUUAUUAAGUGGUUAAGUUUCAGAUAACUACAUAAUAUUUAAAGAUUAAAAUUAAUCUAAAAAAUUAUCACUUUUAGUACCAGAUUUUAUUAAUCUUUUUAUUUUAGGAAUGGACAUUUUUCCAAUUAGGUUGGGAUCUAAAAAAUCAAAGCCUGAGGUACAUAUUUUUGUACUGUUAUUGCAAUUAUUUUUAACAAAUGUACCUGAAAGUCUUAAACCUAUAUUGAAAGCAAUAAUAAAGGAAAUUAAAAUUA